rnacentral:rRNA from 1 species
UCUGGGUUAGUCGGGUCCUAAGCUGAGGCCGACAGGCGUAGGCGAUGGAUAACAGGUUGAUAUUCCUGUACCACCUAGCAUCGUUUUAAUCGAUGGGGGGACGCAGUAGGAUAGGCGAAGCGUACGAUUGGAUUGUACGUCUAAGCAGUGAGAUUGAGUGUUAGGCAAAUCCGGCACUCUUAAGAUUGAGCUGUGAUGGGGAGAGGAAAUUGUUUCCUCGAGUCGUUGAUUUCACACUGCCGAGAAAAGCCUCUAGAUAGAUAAUAGGUGCCCGUACCGCAAACCGACACAGGUAGUCAAGAUGAGAAUUCUAAGGUGAGCGAGCGAACUCUCGUUAAGGAACUCGGCAAAAUGACCCCGUAACUUCGGGAGAAGGGGUGCUCUUUAGGGUGCAAGCCCAGAAGAGCCGCAGUGAAUAGGCCCAAGCGACUGUUUAUCAAAAACACAGGUCUCUGCUAAACCGUAAGGUGAUGUAUAGGGGCUGACGCCUGCCCGGUGCUGGAAGGUUAAGAGGAGUGGUUAGCUUCUGCGAAGCUACGAAUCGAAGCCCCAGUAAACGGCGGCCGUAACUAUAACGGUCCUAAGGUAGCGAAAUUCCUUGUCGGGUAAGUUCCGACCCGCACGAAAGGCGUAACGAUUUGGGCACUGUCUCAACGAGAGACUCGGUGAAAUCAUAGUACCUGUGAAGAUGCAGGUUACCCGCGACAGGACGGAAAGACCCCGUGGAGCUUUACUGUAGCCUGAUAUUGAAAUUCGGCACAGCUUGUACAGGAUAGGUAGGAGCCUUUGAAACGUGAGCGCUAGCUUACGUGGAGGCGCUGGUGGGAUACUACCCUAGCUGUGUUGGCUUUCUAACCCGCACCACUUAUCGUGGUGGGAGACAGUGUCAGGCGGGCAGUUUGACUGGGGCGGUCGCCUCCUAAAAGGUAACGGAGGCGCUCAAAGGUUCCCUCAGAAUGGUUGGAAAUCAUUCAUAGAGUGUAAAGGCAUAAGGGAGCUUGACUGCGAGACCUACAAGUCGAGCAGGGUCGAAAGACGGACUUAGUGAUCCGGUGGUUCCGCAUGGAAGGGCCAUCGCUCAACGGAUAAAAGCUACCCCGGGGAUAACAGGCUUAUCUCCCCCAAGAGUUCACAUCGACGGGGAGGUUUGGCACCUCGAUGUCGGCUCAUCGCAUCCUGGGGCUGUAGUCGGUCCCAAGGGUUGGGCUGUUCGCCCAUUAAAGCGGUACGCUAGCUGGGUUCAGAACGUCGUGAGACAGUUCGGUCCCUAUCCGUCGUGGGCGUAGGAAAUUUGAGAGGAGCUGUCCUUAGUACGAGAGGACCGGGAUGGACAUACCUCUGGUGUACCAGUUGUCGUGCCAACGGCAUAGCUGGGUAGCUAUGUAUGGACGGGAUAAGUGCUGAAAGCAUCUAAGCAUGAAGCCCCCC